GGGAAACUUACCAGGUCCAGACAUAGUAAGGAUUGACAGAUUGAUAGCUCUUUCUUGAUUUUAUGGGUGGUGGUGCAUGGCCGUUCUUAGUUCGUGGAGUGAUUUGUCUGCUUAAUUGCGUUAACGAACGAGACCUUAACCUGCUAAAUAGGAGUGCGUAUCUCCGGAUAUGCUCCUUUCUUCUUAGAGGGACUUUAUGCGUUUUAGCAUGAGGAAGUUUGAGGCUAAAA
rnacentral:rRNA from 1 species